AGUGAACGCUGGCGGUAGGCCUAACACAUGCAAGUCGAACGGCAGCACAGUAAGAGCUUGCUCUUACGGGUGGCGAGUGGCGGACGGGUGAGGAAUACAUCGGAAUCUACUUUUUCGUGGGGGAUAACGUAGGGAAACUUACGCUAAUACCGCAUACGACCUACGGGUGAAAGCAGGGGAUCUUCGGACCUUGCGCGAUUGAAUGAGCCGAGGUCGGAUUAGCUAGUUGGCGGGGUAAAGGCCCACCAAGGCGACGAUCCGUAGCUGGUCUGAGAGGAUGAUCAGCCACACUGGAACUGAGACACGGUCCAGACUCCUACGGGAGGCAGCAGUGGGGAAUAUUGGACAAGGGGGGAAAGCCUGAUCCAGCCAUACCGCGUGGGUGAAGAAGGCCUUCGGGUUGUAAAGCCAUGUUGUUGGGAAAGAAAAGCAGCAGGUUAAUACCCCGCUGUUCUGACGGUACCGAAAGAAUAAGCACCGGCUAACUUCGUG
rnacentral:rRNA from 1 species